rnacentral:rRNA from 1 species
CUAGCGACUUCAGAGUUUGAUCCUGGCUCAGGAUGAACGCUGGCGGCGUGCCUAACACAUGCAAGUCGAACGGGGUUAAGAGAAAUUUUCGGAUGGAUCUUAACUUAGUGGCGGACGGGUGAGUAACGCGUGGAUAACCUGCCUCACACAGGGGGAUAGCAGCUGGAAACGGCUGGUAAUACCGCAUAAGACCACGGCCCCGCAUGGAGCUGUAGUAAAAGAUUUAUCGGUGUGAGAUGGAUCCGCGUCUGAUUAGCCAGUUGGCGGGGUAACGGCCCACCAAAGCGACGAUCAGUAGCCGGCCUGAGAGGGUGAACGGCCACAUUGGGACUGAGACACGGCCCAA